GCCAACUUGGAGAGUGAUCUCGCCUUCCCUCAGCCCCCUAACUUCUUCAAGACCCUGCAUUGAAGUGCACAAAUGAGCACUUGAACCAGAAUCAAGAACCCAACUAGAAGAAGAGAAAAUCGUUAGAUUAGUUUCAAUAACGAGCAACUCAAACAUACCUUCAGAAGGCCCAUCCUUCUUCCUGCUCUUGACAGUUGCCAGG
rnacentral:lncRNA from 1 species